rnacentral:rRNA from 1 species
GACGAACGCUGGCGGCGUGCCUAAUACAUGCAAGUAGAACGCUGAAGCUUGGUGCUUGCACCGAGCGGAUGAGUUGCGAACGGGUGAGUAACGCGUAGGUAACCUGCCUGGUAGCGGGGGAUAACUAUUGGAAACGAUAGCUAAUACCGCAUAAGAGUAGAUGUUGCAUGACAUUUGCUUAAAAGGUGCAAUUGCAUCACUACCAGAUGGACCUGCGUUGUAUUAGCUAGUUGGUGAGGUAACGGCUCACCAAGGCAACGAUACAUAGCCGACCUGAGAGGGUGAUCGGCCACACUGGGACUGAGACACGGCCCAGACUCCUACGGGAGGCAGCAGUAGGGAAUCUUCGGCAAUGGACGGAAGUCUGACCGAGCAACGCCGCGUGAGGGAAGAAGGUUUUCGGAUCGUAAAGCUCGGUUGUAAGAGAAGAACGAGUGUGAGAGUGGAAAGUUCACACUGUGACGGUAUCUUAACAGAAAGGGACGGCUAACUACGUG